UUGAUUUCCUUUUUUGGGUUUUUUUUUUCAUUCUGCUGUGGUUUGUUUUCUUCAUACCACCUCGCUGACUUUCACAACAAGAGAGAGGAAAGAGAGGAAGAAAAUGGCCUCUGAGUCGGUGGAGCUGAGGUAUGAAGAAGCAAAGA
rnacentral:ribozyme from 1 species